rnacentral:rRNA from 1 species
CUCAUUUGGGUUGAGGAGUAGUUAUGUUCGAAUCAUAAUAACCUGAAGUAUAAAUUUAAUUUAUGAGUGUAUCUCGCAAUAUAGGUUAUAUGAAAGAUAUAUUUCUUGAUUAUAUCAAGGCAAGUAUAUAAAGAAACUAUUAUGGAUAAUUAGCUAUAUAUUAAAGAAAAUCUAGUCAAUCUAGAUUCUAAGAGAAAUCCAAUAAUAAACGAAGUGAAUUGAAAUAUCUUAGUAACUUCAGGAAGAGAAAUCAAACGAGAUUGUUAUUUGGUGUCAACUAAAUAACAAGAGCCUAUUAACAAAACUUGUUAAAGUAAAACGGACUAAAAUCUGUUUGAAUAUAGGGGAACCUUCCUCUAAGGCUAAAUAUGAUAUAUAAGCGAUAGUGAAAAGUACCGUGAGGUAAAAUUUGAAAUAGUAGUUUUAUAAGCAGCUCGAGUGAAAAUUUAAAUAAAUAAUAAGAGCGUACCUUUUGCAUAAUGGGUCAGCAAGUUAAUUUUAGAUGCAAGCAAUGAUUUCAUCAAUAGAUUGAUGGAACUAGCUUAGAUAAACCAAUUAUGAGAAAAUGAUUAAGUAUCUAGAAUUAGACCCGAAGGCUAGUGAUCUUACCAUGGUCAGGGUUAUAAAAGCCCGAACGGGUUAUCGUUGUAUAGAUAUCCGAAGAAUUGUGGUAAGUUAGUGAAAGACAAAACUGACUAGUAUAGCUGGUUUUCCGCGAAACCUAUAUGAGUAGGUAAUUCAAUUCACAUCUUAGCAGGUACAGAACUGUGAUCUCGGACAAUAUCUUUUGAUUUUGUCAACAUCGGGGGGUUGUAGUGACUUUACCGGAGAGUAUUUGCACUCGGAAUGGCAAAGAUGAAUGUUGAAUAAUCGGACAUAGUGCGAUAAGGUUGUAUGUCAAAAGGGAAACAGCCCAGAACAAGAGUUAAGGUUCCAAAAUUAUUGUUGAGUGAAAUUAAGGAUGUUUUUUUUUAAUACAAUCAGGAAAUAGGCUUAGAAGCGGCCAUUUUUUGAAGACCUCGUAACAGAGCACUGAUUAAAUUUUCUUAGAAAAAAACACCGAAAAUUUAACGGAUCUAAACAAUAUACCGAAACCUUGUACACAUAUUAUAAUUAUAAAAUUGUAUAUGUGGGGUAGCGGAACAUUGGAUAAAUAUUAGUUAUUAUUUCUUCUAAGAAGUAAUAAGUAUGAAUAAUUUUUAAUAAAAUAAAUAUAAUCUUAUUAUAUUAAAAAAAUAUAGUGGUUUAUAUGAAUAAAUAUUAAUAUUAUUCAUCGAUAUAAUCCAAGAGAGAAUGCUGACAUGAGUAACGAAAAAGGAAUAUCCUCGCCUUAAGCUUAUGGUAUUAUAUUUAAUUUUCGGUAUCUAAAAAUAUUAAUCAAAAGGUAAUUUUGAUGAUGUUUAUAUAUUAAUGCUUAAGAGUAAAAAGCAAAACCUUUAACAAGUAAUAAAGGUUCUGGAAAAUUUUUUACUUUAAAUAAAAUUUAUUUUGUAUAGCUAUAUAACUUCUUGUUACAAGUUUUCAAGAUUGUAUAGCAUUAUAUGCAAAGUAUAUUUUUAUUUUUAUACUAUUUUUAUAGUAUAAUAAGAUUUAUAUAUACCGUACCUAGAUACUAUCACAAGUAAGCAAGUAGAGAAUACAAAGGCGUUUGAGUGAACAAUCAUUAAGGAACUCGGCAAAUUGACUACCGUAACUUCGGGAUAAGGAGGGCCAUUAUCAUUAGUUUAACAUAUCUUAGGAUAUGAUUUAAUUAAAUUAAUGGUAAGAGGAAACAUGAAAUAAUGUUGUACGACUGUUUAAUAAAAACACAGCACUCUGCAAAGAUAAAAUAUCUAAGUAUUGAGUGUGAUGUCUGCCCAAUGUCGGCUGGGUAACGGAUUUACCUCGGUUUUUAACUUAGGUUUUGAAGGAUACCCCGAUUAAUGGCGGCCUUACCUAUGAGGGUCCUAAGGUAGCGAAAUACCUUGGCCGUUAAAUGCGGUCCUGCAUGAAUGACUUAACGAUACAACAGCUGUCUCGAUGAUUGUCUCAGUGAAAUUGGAAUAGCAGUGCAGAUACUGUUUACCUCUAGAUAGACGAGAAGACCCUAUGCAGCUUUACUGUUACUAAUUGCAAGAGUGAAAAUUUAGGAUGAUUGCGAGUGUAUAAGGUAGUUGUUUGAUAACAAUGAAACACCUUUAUUCGUUUCCUAUUAUAUGCUCUUGAGGAUUAGGAGGCAGUUUAUGCGGGGCACAGAUCCCACAAAAAGUACCUGGGUAUAUCCAAAGUUCAUUUUGUAAAUUUGUAAAUUUUAUUUACAAUUAUUUUAAUUUGUUAUAAUUAUAUUUAUAAUUAUACAGUUAUUGUUAGAUUAAAUUCAAUAUUUAUAUUUAUUUUAAGUAAGAUUUUAACUAUAUGGUGAAUAGAUGUAUUUUAAACUUUAAUAUUUAAAAGUUUUUUGUCAUAUUAAUAUUGUAUAUUUUACCUUUAUUAAUAUGAUGAUUAAUUAUACUUUCAAAGUUUAAUGGCUAAAUCUUGCUUUACUGUUUGACCUACAAGUCUAUCAGUCGCGUAAGCGGGGCAUAUGAUCACAAGAUGCAUAAAGGAAAGGUCUUGGAUUAUAGAAAAAGUUACGCUAGGGAUUUAGAACUGUGAGUCCUCCAAUAUUUAAAAAUAUUGGUAAUAUAUUGGGUAAAUUUCAAAGAUAACUUAAUUUAAUUUAAGUGUAUUUGAAGCGAAACUUAUUUUAGCAAUAAGCAAUAGUAUUAUAUUGCUUAAUCAUAGAAUUUAAUUUUAUGAUAAAAUAAGGACGUUCAACGACUAAAA